AUGCGCCUCGUCGAAUCGAUGGAUCCGUAUUUACACGCACACUGCACGUCUGCACCCGGCCGUCGGCUCGCCUGGCAAUGGCGCCAGGCCGGACCGAGGGGCCGGACAAAUGGCCUGCCGCCGUCCGGGCCUCAGCGGGCGGCGGCGCAGGGGAGGGAGGAGGCGGAGCAGAGGGAACGGAAGGCGAGCUCCUCGCAGGGGAGCACGAGCAGGUCCCCGGCGCCGCCGAAGCCGAACUCCUCCUCGGCGCGGCGGAGCAGGGAGCGGAACUCGGGCCGGUCCAGCACCGCGAUGGGCACCACGAACCGCCGCCGCGACUCGCCCACGUACACCGCGAAGUGGCCCCGCGGCACGUCCGACGGCGCCGCCUCCUCCUCCUCCUCCCAGUGCUGCUGCUGCUCCCCGUUGUGCUGCUGCUGCCGCCGGCCCAGGCUCGAGCACCGCUUCAGGAUCUGCUUCAGCCCCGCCGCGCCUCCCUUCUUGAUCGCCAUUAGUUAUCCGAGGGUGGAGCUCGCUCCGCCGUUCGUUGGUUGGACUCGGAGGUGA
rnacentral:rRNA from 1 species